UACGAAGGGGGCUAGCGUUGUUCGGAAUCACUGGGCGUAAAGCGCACGUAGGUGGACUUUCAAGUCAGGGGUGAAAUCCCGGGGCUCAACCUCGGAAUUGCCUUUGAUACUGUAGGUCUCGAGUCCGGAAGAGGUGGGUGGAAUUCCUAGUGUAGAGGUGAAAUUCGUAGAUAUUAGGAAGAACACCGGUGGCGAAGGCGGCCCACUGGUCCGGUACUGACGCUGAGGUGCGAAAGCGUGGGGAGCAAACAGG
rnacentral:rRNA from 1 species